rnacentral:rRNA from 1 species
CAGUAGCCGCGGUAAUACGAAGGGUGCAAGCGUUAAUCGGAAUUACUGGGCGUAAAGCGUGCGUAGGCGGUUAUAUAAGACAGAUGUGAAAUCCCCGGGCUCAACCUGGGAACUGCAUUUGUGACUGUAUAGCUAGAGUACGGCAGAGGGGGAUGGAAUUCCGCGUGUAGCAGUGAAAUGCGUAGAUAUGCGGAGGAACACCGAUGGCGAAGGCAAUCCCCUGGGCCUGUACUGACGCUCAUGCACGAAAGCGUGGGGAGCAAACAGGAUUAGAUACCCGUGUAGUCCCUGUCUCUUAUAC